GAUCAUGGCUCAGGACGAGCGCUGGCGGCGUGCUUAACACAUGCAAGUCGAACGAAGAGCGAUGGAAGCUUGCUUCUAUCAAUCUUAGUGGCGAACGGGUGAGUAACGCGUAAUCAACCUGCCCUUCAGAGGGGGACAACAGUUGGAAACGACUGCUAAUACCGCAUACGAUCUAAUCUCGGCAUCGAGGAUAGAUGAAAGGUGGCCUCUACAUGUAAGCUAUCACG
rnacentral:rRNA from 1 species